GACGAACCGAGCGAACGUUGUUCGGAAUCACUGGGCUUAAAGGGCGCGUAGGCGGGCCGUAAAGUCCGGGGUGAAAUCCUCCCGCUUAACGGGAGAACGGCCCCGGAUACUUGCGGUCUGGAGGCGGGUAGGGGCGUGCGGAACACUGGGUGGAGCGGUGAAAUGCGUUGAUAUCCAGUGGAACUCCGGUGGCGAAGGCGGCACGCUGGACCCGUACUGACGCUGAGGCGCGAAAGCCAGGGGAGCGAACGGG
rnacentral:rRNA from 1 species